GGCUUGGACCAGGCCUUGGACUUGGCCCAACAAAUCUCAGCCCAAAUGAGAUUUGUUCUUGAUCUUGGGUUGGACCCAAGUUGAAUUGGGCUUGCUAAAAAUGGGCUUCAAUUUGAUUUACUGGAAUUGGGCCCACUGUUGGGCUUUAAUUGGUGCGGGCUUGGAAUUGGGCUGCAGCUGAUGAAUUUCGACUGGGCUUGAAGACAACUGGGCUGCACGUUGAACUGAAGUGGCUGAGCUGCAAUUUAAGUGGGCUUCAAAUGAGAUGGGCUUCCAGUUCGCUGGAAUUACUGCUAAGCUCACUGGUGGGCCGGACAGAAGCAGCAAAGGCCGCUCGAGCGUGAAUUGAAGACACGCCAUGGAUGGACGAAGACGCUAUAAUCCAUGGCCAUUGGAGCUUCGAUGGAUGCUGCUGGUCAACGAAGCCUUCGCUAGGUGGGAAUUUGACCAAGAUGGGGCAUGCUGGCGUGGACGAUGGAGGGAAAAGCAGCG
rnacentral:lncRNA from 1 species